CCAGACUCCUACGGGAGGCAGCAGUGAGGAAUAUUGGUCAAUGGGCGAGAGCCUGAACCAGCCAAGUCGCGUGAGGGAAGACGGUCCUAUGGAUUGUAAACCUCUUUUGUCGGGGAGCAAAAAGGCCUCGUGAGGCCACAAGUGAGAGUACCCGAAGAAAAAGCAUCGGCUAACUCCGUGCCAGCAGCCGCGGUAAUACGUAGGUGGCAAGCGUUAUCCGGAUUUACUGGGUGUAAAGGGCGUGUAGGCGGGAAAGCAAGUCAGAUGUGAAAACCAUGGGCUCAACCUGUGGCCUGCAUUUGAAACUGUUUUUCUUGAGUACUGGAGAGGCAGACGGAAUUCCUAGUGUAGCGGUGAAAUGCGUAGAUAUUAGGAGGAACACCAGUGGCGAAGGCGGUCUGCUGGACAGCAACUGACGCUGAGGCGCGAAAGCGUGGGGAGCAAACAGGAUUAGAUACCCGGGUAAGA
rnacentral:rRNA from 1 species